CAGCCGCUGCAUCAAAAUUAACGUCUGUCUCUCCAUCUCCACGUGCCUUUGCGUGGCUUACGGUACGCCAUCGCCACCGUAAGGCACGCAAAGGCACGUGGAGAUGGAGAGACAGACGUUAAUUUUGAUG
rnacentral:pre_miRNA from 1 species